GUAGGGUGCAAGCGUUAAUCGGAAUUACUGGGCGUAAAGCGUGCGCAGGCGGCUUUGCAAGACAGGUGUGAAAUCCCCGGGCCUAACCUGGGAACUGCAUUUGUGACUGCAUGGCUGGAGUCUGUCAGAGGGGGGUGGAAUUCCACGUGUAGCAGUGAAAUGCGUAGAGAUGUGGAAGAACACCGAUGGCGAAGGCAGCCCCCUGGGAUGAGACUGACGCUCAUGCACGAAAGCGUGGGGAGCAAACAGGAUUAGAUACCCUGGUAGUCCACGCCCUAAACGAUGUCUACUAGUUGUCGGAGGGUAACUCCUUCGGUAACGCAGCUAACGCGUGAAGUAGACCGCCUGGGGAGUACGGUCGCAAGAUUA
rnacentral:rRNA from 1 species